UUUUUUUUUCAACGGCAUACGAUCAACAAUCCUAUGACCCAACACGCCAAUUUCAUACCAAUAGCAUUCCCCAUAAACAAAACUUGUCCACAGUUCAUUGUUCUAACUCAAGGUAAACUUGUAGUUCUACCUAUACAUCAAUGACACCCCAUACCAUACCCUUCCAGCAAGUCAACAUCCAUACUAAUAUAAACUUUUACAGGCGGUAACCCGCCACAAGGAGACCUUGGCCCUAUGGCGCUAAAGACUAGGCUUCGUACCCAGCAACUCAGAUCCCGACUCCAUCCCUACUUCAUCUGGAAAACUACAAAAAGUGAGUUCACAUAACUCAAUGCGAUAAAAAUCAAGUUGCAGGUAUAAUAUGCAGUGACAAGACAGUUAGUAUAUCUAUAUGCAUUUCUCUUACACUACCCAAGUCAUGCUUUAGAACCACCCUACAACUAACCGUUAUUUACCUACCCCGAAAGACCAGCUAUUCAA
rnacentral:lncRNA from 1 species